rnacentral:lncRNA from 1 species
GUAAACAGUGAGGUCUUAUGCUCAUGCCACUAAACUUAAGCCAGUUUUGGUUUACAAAAUACCCUUUAACUGAAGGCAGGAGCCUCCCCACCUCAUAGCAAAUCAUACUUCUACCAUCUUGUCUCAGUGUGCUUUAUGCUAAUGGCAAUCGGUUGUCAGCAUCUUUAUUCCAUCUCAUAAAAAAAAAAAAAAAAAAAAAACUUCCUAAGAGACACUGAUCAUGGCUGGAGCACUGUUUUAAAUUAAAUUUUCUCUAAAACCCAGAAGAAUAUAAAAAGCCCUUAAACACAAAAAAGUGAGGUGGGUAAUGUGUUUUGUUUUGAGUAUGUUUGUUGUUAAAUUUGCCAUGAGUGAAUUGACACACUGGUGAGAUGACCAACAGAUCCUGUGGGUGGCAUUGCUUAAUGGCCUGAAGUCGUCCUGUUCCGCAGAGACUACAGUGCAGGUGUCAGAUAGAAAACCCCCAGACUGGGGUACGUCUGACACCAGUUAUCUGGAGGCUGGUAGUCUGUACAAGUGCGGGAGUCACUUCAUUCACUUGAGAUUUCAUUUAUGAACUCUGCUUAUAAGACAGGUGCAAAACACUUGGUGAACCCAAACAGAGCCCAAACACAGACGCUUGAAUGGGUGAAAGAGUGCUUAGAAUGGGAUGAGAGCUGAUGAGACACUGCAUUAAUGUCGAAGUGAGAAUCUCCAUCUUCAUAGAGCCUUUGUCUACAAAUGAUUACAGUCAUCCUUCCAAGUCUCAGCUUCUGCUAGGAGAGGGAAGCUGGGCUUUGUAGAAGAGGGCUGACAUGAAAGUGAAUCCAGUAAACACAUGUGGAAUGGUUGGGGCUGAAACGGGGCAGAGUGAGCAGAAUGUGAUGGAGCAGAACCAAGAUAAGCUGUUCCUGCCCCAAAUUCUCAUUAGUUCUAAAGCAAAAGGAUAAAUACAACCUGACAGGCAGUGAUGUGGAAGAUUCAAGAGAUGUUUCUCUUUUCUUUUUUAUACACUCUUGUAUUAAAAAAUAAUUUAUUACUCACAAGUGCAAGGACCCGAGUUCUAUCCCCGGUACCAAAAAAAAUUUAUUUAGAGUACUAUUACAGGGUAUAUGUUUGUUUAAUGAGCCAAGAAAAUAUGUAAGCUACUUCAGAGAGUCUACCUAAAUUUUCCACAAUGAAGGUGCAUCUUCCAGGGCCCUGCCUUCAGACAGACCUUUGAAAAGACUUGAGAUGAGUCAGAAAUAAGUUAUCAGUGCUCAGGAACACUGUGCCUCCUUCUGUUUAUCUUAGAGGAGUUGGAACCCAGGCAGCACAUUCUUUUGUGUUCUUCUUGAGUCUAACCCAUAUUAACAUCUUUCCAAAUGUGUGCCAAAGAAUUCCAUAUCAUCGUCCUAGCCAAUAUGACAAGCUCAUGGGAAUUUUCUUUCAGAUACACAAGAUAUUAUAGACAGACUGACCACGUGUCCGGCUUUACAAGCGCUAUUCCGGUAUAAUUAUUGCUAAUAGUACCUUUCACUUUCAGAAAUGUUUUGGUAAGAUAAUGAAUUAUGGCAGCCUUAGCUAGAAAUAAUAAUGAAAUGUUAUAAUAAUGAACCUUAAUUGAAUGGUUGAAUUUCUUAGACUUUGAAAAGCUGCCUUGUAUAGUAAAUUCUUCACAACAACUCAAAGAGGGAAGUAUUUUUAUUGUCACCGUUUACCUCAAGGAAACUGAGAGAUGAAGCAGCAUGGCCUACCUGCAUGGUGGGCAAGCCUGUAUCUCCAUAAAGAUCUGACCGUGUCACCUGCGGCAGAAGAUGGGGUAGUGCCUACUACCUUCCCAUCUGCCAAACAAUGGAAGUGACUUCACUUCAUUUCCUGUAGUCAAAGAUACAGUUAUUCUUCUGUUAUUCUUCUUAGUUGUAACUAUUUUUAUGAGGAUUAUGUCCGUGUGUGUGUGUGUGUGUGUGUGUGUGUGUGUGUGUUACUGGGGACUGGACCCAAGAAGCAUGGGGAUGUAUUCACACCUCUUUCUAUUUUUUUAUUUUGAGACAGAGUUUUUCUAAGUUGCCUAGUCUGCCCUCAAACUUGCAAUCCUCCUGCUUCAGCCACCCCAGUACACACUCCUGGCUAAGAAUCAUGUUGUUUAAACCACAGGAAAAGAGCACUGAACUGAACGAACUACAGUGUAGUUAGGUUGUACUUCAACAUAUUAAUGUCACUGCAUAAAUGAUAAUGAUUUGCCAAGAGACUGCUUUAUGCCAGGCAGCAUUCUAGGGAUUGGCCCCAUGUUCUACUGCUGAUGCUAAAAGAACCCUGCAUGGCAGCAGGUUUGAACCCCAUGAACCCUGAACAUGUAGGGAUUGUUGUAGCUGUGGUUCCAGAUGGGCUCACAGGUUAAAAGUGAAGAUGGAGGAUGAAAUCAUUUUAGCAGGCUCUCCACCCGCAACCACCUGUGUCCAGAUGUCUCACUGAGUAACUGACUGUCAGGAUAUGAGACACCGCAAGGAUGGAAAGGAAAAUCCUCGGGGACACAGGGACUUGUCUGCCACCUAACACAACACCUAACAUAUUAACUUCGUGCAUUGAGUGCUUAGUGAGGGAAUGUACUGUAUGUACUUUUAAUCUUUUCUUUGUUUUUCUCCUUUCCAUAGCCCAAAUAAGAAGAGAGUAAGGAUUUGAACCAGUGUAAACUUAACUGCACUAUGAUAGACAUUAUCUUUCUCUGAAAUUUACUAGGCAUUUCUCCAACUUCAAAACCUUUCUGGAAGACAAUCUUAAAUAAGGAUGAAUAAAUAAUAUUUUCUCAUUAUCAAAUUUGUUAUACCACUAUAUGAAGAAUAUGAAUAUAAAAACAGAGAAGGUAGAGGGCUGGGGAUUCAGCUCAGUGAUUCCACUGCCUGCCCCACAAGCACAAGGACCUGAAUUCGAUCCCCUUACCAAAAAAACAAAAAAAAGUGUAGAAAUUCUUGCAACUACAGACUUCACUGUGCUAUAUAUACCAAAGUAAAUACAAGUCUAUGCCUGUACACAAACAGUGAUUACAGCUCACUUUGGGAUAUAAGAAUAUAAAUGCACUAUGGGUUACAUGUUAUUAUAAACUGCCAGGUCAUAGAGUGUGAUAUGGAUCAUGAUUCUUAACUGGAUGUGCAUAUCAGUAUCAAGUGUGCUAUGUUUUAAAAAUCCAGAUGCCAGGACCCUAUCUGCAUUGAAUAGAUACAUUUCUGAGGUAGAAGCCUGGAAAUCUGUAUUUUUAAAACUCUCUAAGUGAUUCUGACAUGCACUGUGGAUACUCACUAGUGGAUUAAAAUAUAUAGAAAAUAUUAAUAUAUUAAUAGUGCACAUAUUUAAAGAAGUUCUUUUGAGCUGAGACUUUCAAAAGAUGGUAUCAUAGAAGAGAUAAGAUUUGAAUGGAAGUUCAGACAUGGACAGAAGGUAAGUGGAACAUGAUUUUUUCUUUUUUAGCUUAAAAUAAAAAUACAAUCUUGGCUUUAAUGUUUUUUCUGCAUUUUUGAUUCCCAAUUGGAUUAGAACCAAUCUGUUAGAUCCAUUGUUCUGAGAAAGAUCCUCACACUUAUACCAAUACAUGCCUAAAAGCAAAUUAUUUUGUAAUAUACCUAUGAUAGAAUCAAAUGAAAAUCAGAUUUAGCAUCCCCUGUGAAGGCUAAUAUGUUAUUAUAGAUUAAUAUUUAUAUAUAUAAUCAAGAAAUUUAAUCACAGCUAGUAACUACAAUUUAGACUGCAAACUCCCAAAGGGCGGGGCUUGUAUUUUAUUCAGUUCUUGAUUGUCAGUUCCUUAACAUGGAGAUUGUUAUCUAGAAUAUGCAUAAUACAUAUUUGUUGAAUGCAUGAGGCCUUCGAAUUUACUUAGUUUAUUCAUUCUACCUUGCUUGUGAGGCAAAUUGCAUCGACCUCCAUUGGAAGGUAAUAAAAUUUAGCUGUAAAAUUUUGGGCCGUUCCUUUGUUGUCAUUUUUUUUUUUAAUCUGCAACAAGGCACUGCCAAAGACUUCAGUCAUUAGUUCAUAAGAGUAAACUUUAAGUCUUCUCUUUCUCAGAAAAAGACUGAAGAGAAGAAGGAUGGGAGAGGCAAGGGCGUUCUUCCCAGCAUGUGGGCAUCCUUCCGCAUUCCAGCCCAGGGCCACUGUACACCCCUCUUCUCAGUCCUGUACCUCCUGGGGAAGCAAGGACGGCACUAGAACUCCCCAUAGGCAGGAGCAAGACUUGGACAUCUUCCCAGGCUUUCUGAGCCCUUCCUGCCAGCCCUGCAGUAUUGGAGGAGAGGAUUAUUUUGUCACUGUUGGGGUCUGGGCAGUUAGUGGAGCCUAAGGCACAGCCCAGAGGAUCACAGAGACUCUCCAUUUCAUUCUGCAGUGUAAAUCCCCACCACAAUGAAGCCCGGCUUCACUUGGCUUUCAAUGUGGUGGUGAAGGGGGGGCCUUGUAUUUUCCCAGUGGAACUGUAUAAUACAUUUGGAAACAUAUUCAUAGGGAGAAAAUAGUAGGGAAAGUACUGAAAAGAAAACAAAAUAAAGAUGGAAAAAGAAAAUGGUGAGCUGACCACAGAAAGCUUUGAUGUUAUCAUUCACAUAGCUCCACUUCGAUGAUUAAAAACAGCUGCUUAUCUUGGAAUUAGGAAGAUAAGAUUCAGGUAAGAACUGGAAGACAGCUCUGAGCAGAAGCUGCUAGCACCUUGUGGCACCUGCGGCUCCCCGCUGGGGCCAGCAAGGGAGCUCUGGCUGUGUGUCCACCAUAGUGGCUUCUGGUUCAGCUGAUGGCCCUAGGGUAGAAGGAUUUAAAAGAAAUAAAGGCCACCCUACCAAGGGACUAUUCAGUGACCCCUUCAUCUUCUGACACAUGGAAUUGGGAGUUGGAACUAACUCAAAACUUCCAAACUGCUGAGCAGCAUCUUAGUAAACAUAUGGGCUGCAAAAUAAGUGUAGGGAACCAAGACUUGGGAAACCUGAUACCUGCUCAGGGAAGGGACUUGCUGAGCCUCUUGGGAGUGGGGCACUUUCUGAGCUGGUGCUCCAUGAUUGCUUCAUCUCAGAGAAGCCUUGUAAUCAUGGGGAAAAGCAUACUGAAAAUCAGCAUGAUUACCAAUUCUUAUGCAAGAUUUAACAAAAACAUGAAGAAAUAGUUUAACUCACAGGGGUCACAUAAUAGUUCUGUAUAUUAAGUAAAAUUAAUUCAUGUUUUUAAUAAUAUUCCUAGAGUGGACCAUGUGGCCUCCAAUACUGUGGUCAUUUUAAUCAGCAGGGUGAGCUGAGUCCACUGGUCAGGCUCAGCAGCACCCCAUGUGUCCACUUCAUCCCUGCUGGGCUUGGUGACUUUACUUUGGUAGCAGGAAGUGGACAUUUGUGACUCCAUUUUUAUGCCAUGGACAUUGGCUACUGCUAUAAUCCAGGGUCUUGUUUUCUCUUGUAGAACACCUGUGAGCCAGUUAUUAGCACACCGCUGAAUUACACACACAUUUUAUAAGAAAAAGGGACCCAAUAUAAAUAGAAGUCUCUGUAAUUAAGAAUCUUGCUCACUGGUAAAUAUUUUAAUAAGACACUGCUUAUGAGAGAUAGCAUUAAGUUAGACUGUCUAGGUGCAAAUCUUUUAUUAGUUAUCAGUUAAUAAAAUCCCUGUGCCUUAGUCUCCUCAUACUUAAAAUGAGAACAUAAUAAUGCCUAUUGCAUCGGAUUGUUUUGAUGGUGAAAUGAGCUAACAUAUGUAAUACACUGCAAAAAACGCCUCGUGUAGGAAACAUGCUUGGUGAGUUCAUUCUAUUAACAUCAACAGGCUGUUUAGACUUCUCCUAAAACACUGCCUAAUUUCAGUGUUACUUUUCCUGUUGAGAUUUUAUAUCUUUUAGAAACCUGUACCCAACUUCCACAAGUUUGUGAAGAUCCAUUAAAUGGAAGCACGUCAAAUCACUCCAAAAUGCACAAAGCACUGAGUAAGUGAAAGCUUCAAUAAUUAUGUUAAAGGCACCAUCUUGAAUUUUGUUUAUACCACAUCUCUGAAAUGAGCAUCAGAUUUUUCUCUAGGCAAUUACUGUUUGUACAGAAACAAACACAGAUGGUACCCAAAAUUACUACUACAUCGUUCAAGCUAAGGCAUUUAUCAAAAUAUUGAUGGUCACUAAAUGUCCUCUGUACAUUUAGUACAAGUACUAAAUUUAGUAUAUACAAGCCCACACCUCAGUCAGACAGCACAGCAAUUUAGGCAGAUAAGCCUUUGCUAGAUAAUCCAAGGAUUUUCUGAUGUGUAGAAUAGCUAGCACAACAAACAGAAAAUCUUACAUGUAGGCAAAGUUUUGCGAAAUAGGAUGUUAACAUGAAAUUUCUUUUAGAGAAAAAAAUUGAUUUGUCUUUUCUGAUAAACAUUCCAAACAAAGAAAAAUUUAUUUUUGUGGUUGUGCAUGCGCAUGUUCCCAGUUUCCAUUGACCUUCUGGCUAAGCAAGGCAAGAAGGAGAAAUGCGUCUUGAGUAUAGAUUAAAGAUCUUUUAAGAACCCAGUCUUUGUAGUGCACCCUUCUUUUUAUGGGCAGGGUAAUCUUCUGGUUUCUACAACUCUACUCCCUUGGAUUUCGUGCUGCUUGGGGCCUGUUUGUCCUUGGAUCCUUUUCUGCCUGUCCCAAGCUUCCUUUUCCACUCCUCUGUCUCAGUUUCAUAGCUGACUUCAAGAGAGCCUUGGGCUAACAGUGGAGGUGCGAUUUCCCCAACCAGACUGCAUCUCCUUCACCUUCUCCAGCAGCAGCCACUCCCCUCCUGCUCCUGCUCACCUGGGUUCCAGUUCCCACCUUGUCACAGGUGUGUGUGCCCCCGAGCCUUCGGCUUGCUCCUGGCACUAAUUUCUGAGUUGUCCCCCUUUUCUCUGGUUUGCUUGCUCUGGAUCUCUGAUCAACCGUCUCCCACUUUGUGGAAUUCCCUGAGUCACAGUUCUCCCCUUCAAAUACUCCAAUCUUAUUUUCCUAGCUGCAUCCUGAUUGGUGCCAGUCCGGCACAGCAUCCUGCUCACACUGAAGUCUUGGGUAGCACAGCCCGGAGGCGAUGCCCAGUGCUCCUGCUGACCCGAGGACCUCUGGGGCCAGACCCCAAGGCUUCGACCCCCUUCCCAGCUCUCCUUCUCCGGUUCAGAUUCUACUUGAGCCCACUCUGCCCAGGAGAGACCAAGUAGUUUUCUCUGCCUGCUGACACUGACACCAGAAGACAUUCAAACAGCUCACUGGAUUGCUAGCCCAGCCCAUUGGUGGCAAACCUAUGGGACAUGUGCCCAGCCUCUGCCAUCAAUUAAGUAGAUGCCAUAGCUCUGACUUGUUUCCUGUAAAGGGGUGCCGGCUUUGUUUACUUCAUUUAGCAGGCUCUCUCUGCGCACUCGGUCCACUGCCUCCCACAUCGGUCCGUGGCAUUUGUUUAUUCUACCCAAUCACACGCAGAGCUCUGUGGUCAGGGGCACUUUUCCUUUUAUAUCUGCUCACAGCAGGUUCACAGUACAGGCUUGUGAGCUAAAUACAGUCUACAUUUCACCAGCAUCUGUGCUGAUUUCCGGUUCCUUGUCAGAGGGACAUGCUGUGUGCCCUCCUGCAGCUGCAUGGUGUGCACUGGAUCAUCCACUCAGGAUGUGCUCUGAGCAGGUCCUGUAUUCUAGACCGGAGAUACUGGGGGCCACUAGGGGCAGCACAAAGACUCCAAGGCCCAUUGCCACUUAUUUUAAAAGCAAGGGUUCCCCCUAAGCUGCCUCUCCCUGGGGACUGCCACUGUCCUUCUAGUGGUUUCCUGGACUGACAAUGCUCUGUGUCACAGAACCUGCUCAUCUUCUUCAUAGCAUUGCAUAUGAACUAUGUAUGGAAUAAGCAUAAAGGACAGGGAGAAAUUUAAAUUUAUACAAAUGUGUAGUGAAUACAAAGGGCACGUGUAUAAGUAUCAUACAGAACAGGCACCCUCUUGUAUGAGUGUGUGUGGGGGGGUGUUGUUAUGCUUUCAUUUUGUCUUUCCCUCUACAGAUUUUCUUUACUUCAGCUUCUUUCACUACUGAACACCAAGCCUAACACAGAGGCUGGCUGGCACACAGUAGGUGCUCAAAUGCUUGGUGAAUAAAUAAUAGAGAGUGGCUGGAUCAAGGAGAGCAAAGAACGCUUCCCAAUCAUUAAUUUAUCAGACCUUAAGUUUUCCUGAAUAAAAAAUGUAGAAAGGAGAGAACAAGGAAUUAUGUCAGCUUCUUUGGUCUAAAACAUUUGGAGAAUAGCUGGUCACAACCUAUUGUUUAGUAACCCAGCCUUACUCAGAAAUGCCAGUGGUUGAACUCAUGAUUUUUCAAACUUACUCAUUCAAAGGCUAUUCAUAUUCCCCAUAUUAUUUUAAUUCCUUUCCCUUAUCAGAGAGGCAGUACUGAGUUUCCUAUAUGAUUUAACUAUAUAGCAUACUAACACGCAUAGCCCAUGGAGAAAGAGCCCUCCCCCCUUGCCUGUGCUUGCCCCUUACUUUUUUAUUCUUCGUGAGCAUGCACAUUAUUUCAUUUAACAACCAGUUAAGAUGCCUUUAUGUGUCAGGCACUGCACUAGAGACCUGAUAUAAAAACAAAAACAAAAAUACAAAUCAAAAAGCAGUGAGCAAGACAGCAUCUGCUUUCAUGAAGCCUAGAGUGUAACGAGGGUUCACAGCAAUAAAUGGAACAUAUAUUAUGAUGCCAGAAAGAAAUAGAAAGCUUGAGACAAAAUAGUGGGCAAGCAGUGGCGAGGAGGCUCAGGGCUGCUAGGCCAGGGCAGAAGGCCUUCCUGAGGAGCUGACAUUUCAGCAGCGUCUAAGAAUAGAGGCAGCACUCACACUGCAGGAGAGGAGCCCCGUGGUGUGUGGUGUGGGCAGGCACACAUGCUGGGCUGUCUGCCAGUGGACACUUGUGAGCCCAGGAAGGAUGGUGGGAGCAGGGCUUGGGGGACAGCGCAGGUCAAAUCGUGCGUGGUUUUCUGAGCAGAGCACCACUAAAAGGUGGGGUAUGUGCCUGGAACCCAGCCACAUUGGAGGCUUAGCAGGAGGGUGGAGAGUUCAAAACCAGGCUGGGCAAUCUAGCAAGACCCAGCCUCAAAAUGAAAUGAAAAAAAAGAACUUGUACAAGAAGCUACAAUGAUCUGAUACAAGUUUCAAAAGACCACCCUGGCUGCUGGAUGGAGCACUAAUGGGAAGAGGACCUGAGUAAAAUGAGACAACCUGGCAGACUGUCAGAGUGGUAACUCCAGGGCAGGGAUGUGUCGUUUCCACCUGGAGAGCUGGACAGGAGGAUGUGCAGGCCGGAUUGGGAGGGAAGAAAGGGCUGCGUGUGACCCUGCAGUUUCUGUCUCGGGUGCUGGAUGAUAGUUCGCUUACUAGGGGCCCCCCAGCAGCUCUGUCUCGAUGAGGUUCAUGGCAUGGUCCUGUGACACCUGGUCAGAGAUGUGAAAAAGACCCCUGAUUACAGCAAUGUGACGCUGUGACAGAAAUGAGCCCGAGCCAGCCUCUGCUAGGUCUCACCUUUGGUCUGGGGAGAAAACUCAAGUUUUUUACACACACAUUUAUUUUUAAAUAGGCUGCACAGGCAGAUUUUCACACAUUGAAGAUUCGCUUGUUCUGCACACCCUGCAAAACCUCACCUCACAUCCGCAGCAGUAGAAAAUCCUAAUUGAUUUUCAUUAUUAAAAAAUUCUCCAAUGGCAACUGAAUUAUCAAGGUCAUCAAUGAAAGUACACAUUGAACAUAACAUAGAUUUAUUGGUACUUUCCUCCAGAGAAUUCUGUUCAUCUUGGAAGACAUUGCAAUCUCCAGUGGUUGGAGCUAGGUCUUCAUCAAAAAAGUAUGAUUCUCCUGUGCUUUUGCUCUACCUGCAAAGCGUGUUCGAUUGGCUCAAACUAUAGUCAACUUUGAUCACCUGUGGUCCUCAUUUCCCUGUCAUACAUUUGUAAAAUGUUUAAAUAAACAAGUGUUUAAAAUAA